GAACCACGAGAUCAUGAGCUGAGCUGAAACCAAGAGUCAGAGACUUGACUGAGCCACCCAGGCAUCUCAACUGAUAAGCUUUCAGAUUCUACUCAGACCUCUGUUCCUCCAGCUCUUGUUCUGCUGAGGUGACAUGAUCGGAGGACCCUGCGGAAGGCCAGAGACUUUGCGCUGUGGGAGGGACCUUCUGCAAGGACAGAGAAGGGAAACGACAGAAAUGACAUGGGGACAGAAACUUGGUUGGAAGUACGGAAGUGUUCAAAUGGGGCUUUAGCAGAUUUUUCUAUGUGAUAAGGAAUAUCAGUAGUGCUUUUGCAAUGAGAUCUGCUUUUCUGACAUCUGAGAAAAUGACCUCAAGGUACAGCAAGAACAAAAUGGCCUGGACAUUUGAGUUACAACACUUUUUUACUUUCUUGUCAUUCUUUUCUGUUAUCCCUAAGCCUUCAAAUAAAAUGUUUCAGAUUUCUUAGUUA